UAGGGAAUCUUCCACAAUGGACGCAAGUCUGAUGGAGCAACGCCGCGUGAGUGAAGAAGGCUUUCGGGUCGUAAAACUCUGUUAUUGAAGAAGAACGUGUGUGACAGUAACUGGUCAUGCAGUGACGGUAUUCAAUCAGAAAGUCACGGCUAACUACGUGCCAGCAGCCGCGGUAAUACGUAGGUGGCAAGCGUUGUCCGGAUUUAUUGGGCGUAAAGCGAGUGCAGGCGGUCUUUUAAGUCUGAUGUGAAAGCCUUCGGCUUAACCGAAGAAGGGCAUCGGAAACUGGUAGACUUGAGUGCAGGAGAGGAGAGUGGAAUUCCAUGUGUNGCGGUGAAAUGCGUAGAUAUAUGGAGGAACACCGGUGCGAAAGCGGCUCUCUGGCCUGUAACUGACACUNAGGCUCNAAAGCGUGGGGGAGCAAACAGGAUUAGA
rnacentral:rRNA from 1 species